CACAGCUGCUCUGCCCUUUCCCUCUCUGUCUCUCUCCACAAACACGACGGCAAUCGGCGGGAUCGUCCACAGCUGCUCUGCCCUUCUCGACAGUUCUCUCCGGAGGGAUCGUCGGAGUCCAGAAGGCAGUCGGUGGCGAGGGGACGGAGCCAUGUGCAAACGUGGGCUUUGAUUUACCCUGGCACACACUCAACCACGCCAGUGGUAGCACACCUCCUUCCUCCUCCAAAUCCAUCCCACGGGAAUCCAUGGAAGGUCUGGAGCCGAGAGCGUUCAGGCUGCGAGUAUUGGAAGCUGGCCCUUUGGCUGUGGUGAGGCCGUUGGAGUUGCAGGCUUCUCCCAGCAUCACCGAUGCAGAAAUAUGCCGUGCCGGAGAACUCGAUGGUGGCAGCCAAAGCGACGCCCCCCCUGGAUUCAGCGUUAUACAUUUGUCUAUUUCCUAUCUCACCGAUUCUGGUCCAUAUUAUCCAUCUCUUAGUUGAUUUUUUCUGUAUAUGCCCAUAUGUUAAUUAACUGAAUUUUUUCAUGUACUGCAUUCUGCUGAUAAAGGCGAAAAGGGGAUUGAAAAUUAACUAUGUGGCUAGGAUGGAGUACACUUCUGUUGGCCGUGUAUCGUUGCUAGAGUAUAUAGACUUUUAGGCCCGAAUUUUGAACCAUGUUGAAGUCUUUGUCGCAGCAAUUUUCAGGAUCUUGAAUUGCUGCAAUCUGUUCAAUAUUCAUGAUCAUGCGGAUUUGCUCUCCCAGUAUUUAUUAGGUUGCAAACCAUUGAUCUGACAGAAAAGCAUAAACAUAAAUUGGGGACCACAAAUGCAGUGGUGUCAAUAAAAAAAUAUAGUGUCAAAUUGAUCUUUUCUAUGUCUGAAUUACAUUGUUGAUUGCAUUGGGCUUUCUAAUUAUAUACUCCCUCCGUUUCAAAUUACUCGUCGCAGAAAUGGAUGAAGCGUGUCAGUUCUACAUUAUGUUUUCAUGGGGGGUUGGUUUUGGCGUAAGGUUUGCCAAAAGGAGGCUCAACGCACACAGGGCAAGGUAAGAUGAUGAGGGACAACACCCAGUAAAAGUCUGUUAUGGUUAUGCGGUGGGCUGUGAUCUGGGAUUGAUCAUGUGACUACUUGUUGACUUCAAGAUUGUGGUCGUGUCAUAUAUUUUUAAUCAUCCUUUUUUAUUGUUGAUCAGAUCUGCUAGAAAGACUAGCUAACUAGUUGUGAAAGAGCAUCUUGAUUCGGAUAAUGAAAUUUAAAUCAUCCAUUUUAUUGUUGAUCGCCUGAUGU